CCUACGGGUGGCAGCAGUGGGGAAUAUUGGGCAAUGGGCGCAAGCCUGACCCAGCAACGCCGCGUGAAGGAAGAAGGCUUUCGGGUUGUAAACUUCUUUUGACAGGGAAGAGAAGAACACGGUACCUGUCGAAUAAGCCACGGCUAACUACGUGCGAGCAGCCGCGGUAAUACGUAGGUGGCAAGCGUUGUCCGGAUUUACUGGGUGUAAAGGGCGUGUAGCCGGGCUGACAAGUCAGAUGUGAAAGCCGGGGGCUCAACCCCCGCACUGCAUUUGAAACUGUUGGUCUUGAGUGUCGGAGGGGCAGGCGGAAUUCCUGGUGUAGCGGUGAAAUGCGUAGAUAUUAGGAGGAACACCAGUGGCGAAGGCGGCCUGCUGGACGGCAACUGACGGUGAGGCGCGAAAGCGUGGGGAGCAAACAGGAUUAGAUACCCCUGUAGUC
rnacentral:rRNA from 1 species